AGGUGAAAAAAUGAAAUGUACCACAAAAUCGAAAAAGUGGAUUUUUUCACCGAAAAAUUUUCGGUGGAAUUUUUCGCCGAUUUUUUUCUCGGUUUUCGCCGUUUUUUUCCGUUUUUUUG
rnacentral:ribozyme from 1 species